GAUGAACGCUAGCGGCAGGCUUAACACAUGCAAGUCGAGGGGUAUAGGGAGCUUGCUUCCUAGAGACCGGCGCACGGGUGCGUAACGCGUAUGCAAUCUACCUUUUGCAGAGGGAUAGCCCAGAGAAAUUUGGAUUAAUACCUCAUAGUAUAGCAGUUUCGCAUGAAACCACUAUUAAAGUCACAACGGCAAAAGAUGAGCAUGCGUCCCAUUAGCUUGUUGGUAAGGUAACGGCUUACCAAGGCAACGAUGGGUAGGGGUCCUGAGAGGGAGAUCCCCCACACUGGUACUGAGACACGGACCAGACUCCUACGGGAGGCAGCAGUGAGGAAUAUUGGACAAUGGGCGCAAGCCUGAUCCAGCCAUGCCGCGUGCAGGAUGACGGUCCUAUGGAUUGUAAACUGCUUUUGUACAGGAAGAAACACUACUUCGUGAAGUAGCUUGACGGUACUGUAAGAAUAAGGAUCGGCUAACUCCGU
rnacentral:rRNA from 1 species